UACGUAGGGUGCGAGCGUUAAUCGGAAUUACUGGGCGUAAAGCGUACGCAGGCGGUUCGUUAAGUUCGUUGUGAAAGCCCCGGGCUCAACCUGGGAACUGCAAUGGAAACUGGCGGGCUUGAGUGCGGCAGAGGGGGUGGAAUUCCGCGUGUAGCAGUGAAAUGCGUAGAGAUGCGGAGGAACACCGAUGGCGAAGGCGGCUCACUGGCCCGAUACUGACGCUGAGGCACGAAAGCGUGGGGAGCAAACAGG
rnacentral:rRNA from 1 species